CUUUUCAUUAUUUCCCCUUUUGACCCACUCUUGAGACAUUUGAUCACUAAUUAUAUCCAGCAUCAAAGUGAAGUUUGUAAAACAUCAAAGUAGCUACACGGUGCUGGAUCAGGUCCUGGGUACUACAACAUCUUAGUAGCCAUUACAUUUUAUAUUUUUAUGAUAACAAUAAACGUAGCCUAGAAUAUUAAGAAUUCCUGGUCUUGGACCCACACAUUAUUGGGGCACCUAGUAUAGAAACUGAGUUCUGAAUAGCACUUUAAAUUAACACCGUACAUCUAAAUAUUAACAGUCCCCAGGUAGCAUUUAUUGUUACUUCUCAAUUAAUACACUUUAUUUUACCCUGAGCAUUAUGAUGUUUUGCUAUUAUUGGCAGGUUCAAGAAGAUGCUAGGAACUUGCCAUCCCUUUCCUCCGUCAAGCCGUUUAAACCUCCUGAAAUGCACCUGUGACCCUUUGCUUCUGUUGGUUUUGGCAUCUUGUCUAUUAUGGCCGUGUACCACCUUCAUGUCCAGGGAAAGGAGCAGUAGUGUGCUGUGCAAGAGGCAGAUUUGCUGAGAGCUGUUCAGGGAGAAAACUGUAAGUCAUCAGUCCUAGCACAAAUUAGCUUCAGGACAACGUGGGUGUUUCAUGGAGACCCAAGGCAGUAUUAUGAUCAUUUAACUUCAAAGUGUAUGUGGCAAGGUAAGAAC